GGAGGAGAGAGAUGCAACCCAGCAUGUAGGGACCUGAGGAGGCAGAGGCCCUGCCUACCUGAAAACAGGCUAUCACCCAGGCUUCCCAAGGGCCGGGAAUCACAGUGAAGAGGGGCCAACCCACGCAGCUUCAAUCGGGUGCAGGCUUUUAAUUGUGGAGCCCCUUGCCCAGUGAGCCCCGCUGUCCAUGCCCAGGUGCGUUUAGCUCUGCUGCCUUCCGAGGGACCAGCAGCGACAGAGCCUCAAGGGCCCUUGGGAGCCAGAGCCUCUGAAGUGCGCUGCUGCCACAGCUGGAAAAGAUUCAUCCUUCCAACAACCUCUCUGCAUUCACACGUCCCGUGUGAGCUCCCCAAAGGCAGCCGCAGCUCUGAGGCGGCGCCACUCUGAGGCGAGUGUGGGGUUGGCUGCACCAUUGUCCUUGCUCACAGAAACCGCCAAACAAGAAAGGAACAUCAAGGCUCCUUAGAGUCCUGUCUCUCUCUGUCUGCCCCGGCAGCAUCUGAACCAAACGCAAAAUGGCAUCGGGCUAGGAAUAGAAAGGUGAGUUGCUCAGAAGACAAAAGCUGAACAGUGAGAUCACUAAAUACACUACAAUAACAUUGGGAUACAUGCUAAUGACUGCAGAGCACGGGCAGUGUUGUCUUGUUGAUAGAGCACAGGUCUGGGAGCCAGGAGACCUAGAUUCUGUUCAUGGCUCAGCCAGGUAACCUUGGGCAAGUCACGUCACCACCACCUCAGUUUCCCCAUGUGUACAAUAGGCAUCAUGAUACUGGCGUCCUUUGUAAAGGGCUUGGAGGUUUAGGACUGAAUGGUGCCAUAUGAGCUCUAGGUGUUAAUGCUGACGGUAUGUCAAGUCAGCCUGUUGUAGUCUUGACCAAUCACAACCUCCAAAGAGAGGCCUUGUGGGAGGGAUGGAGGGUGCAACAGUAACACUCUGAUUGGCUGGAGGCAUGUUUAGUAUCCAGGGCUUUAACUGGUCAAUUACUGCAGGUGUGGAAAGAAUCAGUGGGCAGAUACAGAGAGGUUGGGGGUGUGGAGGGCAGGGAGACAGCCCCCAACCCACGUCCUGUUUCGACAGGCUUACUGCACAGUGAGGACAGACCAAGCCCUGGAGCUGGCUCCUGCUCCCUUUUGAAUGGCUUAAGGUAGGAGGGGACCCCCUGAACUCGCCCCCCUGCUGCUUGCAAAUCUAUUGCUGCAUCCCAGACCCCAAACAGGCAGCUCCUGACAGGGUCAGGGAGAGGGUCCCAUAGAUCUCAGCCCACCUAUUUGCUGCUGCCCAAGUCACCUGCCCCACAGAAGAUUCAGCGCCAAGGGGGAGGCGAAACACAUGAUACCAGCACUCAGAACGUUAGCCUCACUGUCUCUACUAAGGGCUUGAUUCUGCAAAGUGCUGAGCAUGUGGGCCAUGGUCCCGCAUGGGGUUAACUGUAUCAUAGUAAUCCUUAGCUCUUCUACAGCACUGCUUAGCCAUGGAUCUCCGAGCACUCCCCAGAGGGGCCAGCAUCUUUAUUCCUACUUCACAAAUGGGGAAACUGAGGUACAGGGCUGUGAAGUGAGGUGCUCAAGGUCACCCUGCAAGCCGAUGGCAGGAAUAGAACCCGAGUCCCAGUCUAGCGCUCUUAGCAGGCCCGUUGGAGUCAGCCUGGCUGUGUUUUGUGUGGAAAAGGGCACUGCCCCAUGUGGUGCUAAGGAGGCAUUCACUGUUUUCGUGAUCCCUCAGAGCAGGCGUGUGAGCAGUGCUGUCACAGCGGCAGUCCAGGCCUGACUGAGAGCAUCUGUGGAUGAUGGCUUCUCUCCCUUCCCCUGUUGGUCUCUGGUUGCAGUCACUAAGCGCUCUGAAUUGAACUAGGUGCUAGUAGCUUGGCUGACUGACAGGUGAGCCAAUCACUAAUUCAGCAGCGCACUGUGUGGGAAGGGAGGCUGCCAUGCUGGGUAUUCGGCUGAAUGCGAGUGGUUUGGAGGAUGUUGCUCUGAUCCCCUGGGCCAUCUGUGGUGUGUUCAGCUGCGUCUCUCUCAUGUCUUAGUGGGCUGAGGGUAAGUGCAAGUGUGGAGCCAUUAACAGAUGCACUGGUGGCGGAGCCAGUGGAUUGUUCUCUGUUCUAGCUGAUCGUCUGGCUUAGGUUUUUCUCGGAUGCUGAUUGCCGUGGUUCUGAUGACCAGAUUUUCAAACACCAGCUUGGUCACCUGCGCUGUAUCAUUGGACACAUUCCAAAGUAUGUCCUGCAUGGAGAACUAGUGGCUGCUCCAAGGACACUGGGCCGACCUUGGCUCAGGUUUGAGGAUGUUUGCAAGAGGGACUUGAAAACACAGAAUAUCGCCACUGCAAGCUGGAAAGACGCACCUAGCAAGAGGCCCCGUUGGUUCACAGUGCUGUGCCAGGGAGGCAAAGAGGCUGAAGAGAGGUGCUUGAGAGAUAGGAAAGGGAAGAGAGUGAAAAGUGCAGCCAGCCUCACACUCUAGUAGUGCGCCAGUUUCAUCCUCUGGCCCUGCGCCUUACACCUGCAUUAUCGGUGGCAAGGACGGUUGCUCGAGAAUUGGACUUGUCCACCCGCCCACGAUGCUGCAGCAUGACCUGCAGGAACUGGCCUGCUCUGGUGCUUACACUACGAGACAGAGGUGCCUUUCCAUUCCAUUCCUUCAGCACCCAACACAGGGAGUCUCCCUUGGUCUCCAGGCCUGCUACUAAAUGCUGAACACUUCUGAACAGCUGGCCACUGCAUUGACAUGGCCAGAUGUUCAGAACGCAUUUGAAAACCUGGCCUCUGCAUGGCUGAUUCAUGGCAGGGCUGGCACCGCUGUAGGACAAGAUCUUUAUUAUUCAUAUGAAUGGCUAAGCCUUUUUUUACAAAUCCUGCUAAUCUCUCUGCCUUGAUACCUUGUGGCAGUGAGUUCCACAGGUAAAUUAUCUCAUAUCAAACAGGACUUCUUUGGAUGGGCUUUAAUUUUUUUUGUCAGUUAAUUUCAGUGGCUUCCCCUUGUUUUUUUUAUUCUGAGUGGGUACGCAGGCACACCUGAAUGACCUGCCCUACACUUUCCAUUACGUUAUGCAUCUCUGUCUCAUCUCCUCUUAUUUAGUUUCCCUUUAGACUAGAUUGUUCUUAUCUUUUUCAUUUCCUCUCUGUAGAGGCUGCCACAGUUAUGGGUCUAGCUACAUGCUGUCCCCUUGCUGGGCUCCCUGAGUUCACCCUCUCAGGCCUUUCCCUAUUCUGGAAUUUUACAUCCGUCCCCCUCUUAGAUGGAGCCCAGGGCUACAACUGUGCUUACCCAGCAGGUCUUACUGGGUUCAGACAUCGACUGUUCCACCUUUGGGAAGCUGGGACCAGCGGUGCCCAGGGAUCUGCCAGACUCCUUAACCCCCAGGAUUGUUCAUUUUAUCAGCAGGGACGCAGCAUUUAGAGAAAAAGGGAUUUGAAAACAGUCUGCACAGCUCUCUGUCUGACCUGAGGCCUUCCCAUCCCCCGAUGGCAGGCCUGACUUCUCCAGAGUCCCUGCUGGGUACCCCUGAAUGACACCCCCAUCUCAAGUGCUCCUUUCUAAAUCAGUCCCAAUCCUUCAGAUCUCUGGAGUGUGUGAGCCAUCCCCUGCCUCUUAACAACCCCCAAGAGACUUCUCUUGAUCCAUUCUUUCUGCAUCCAGCUCAUUUUUCCUUUUUGCCCUUCACUGCAUGGACCCCAGUAUAUUUAGACAGCAAACCACCCAAUAGCCAGGCAGGGCCUCCCGGGGGGGGGGGCAAGUGGGGCAAUUUGCCCCAGGCUCUGCAGGGGCCCCCACGAG